rnacentral:rRNA from 1 species
UCUACGGGAGGCAGCAGUGAGGAAUAUUGGUCAAUGGGCGCGAGCCUGAACCAGCCAAGUAGCGUGCAGGAUGACUGCCCUACGGGUUGUAAACUUCUUUUAUAAAGGAAUAAAGUGCGGCACGUGUGACUUUUUGUAGGUACUUUAUGAAUAAGGAUCGGCUAAAUCCGUGCCAGCAGCCGCGGUAAUACGGAGGAUCCGGGCGUUAUCCGGAUUUAUUGGGUUUAAAGGGAGCGUAGACGGCUUGUUAAGUCAGUUGUGAAAGGUGGUGGCUCAACCGUAAAAUUGCAGUUGAUACUGGCAGUCUUGAGUGCAGGUGAGGUAGGCGGAAUUCGUGGUGUAGCGGUGAAAUGCUUAGAUAUCACGAAGAACUCCGAUUGCGAAGGCAGCUUACUAAACUGCCACUGACAUUGAUGCUCGAAAGUGUGGGUAUCAAACAGGAUUAGAUACCCUUGUAGUC